ensembl:lncRNA
GUGGUAGCUGUGGGCCGGGGGGCAGGUGUGGGGCUGCAGUUUCCCCCCAUGCACUCAGACUCAGUGCUGGGGGGCAGUGAGGGGGCUCCCCUCCUUCUCCUCAGUGCUGCAUACCGCAUCCAUAUCCCAUGGGGCAGCUGCAGGACUGCAGGCAGGCAGCAGUUGCAGGCUGGGGGGCAGGUGUGGGGCUGCAGCCCCCCGCUGCACUCAGGGGCUCAUUGUUGGGGCGCACUGAGGGGGCUCCCUUCUUUCUCUUCAGUGUUCUGUACCUCAUCCGUGUCUUGUGAGGCAGCUGGGGGGCAGUUGUGGGGCUGCAGCUCAGGGGCUCAGUGCUGGGGGGGCUCCCCGCCUCUUCAGUGCCCCCCAUACCUCAUCCGCGUCCCAUGGGGCAGCUGUGGGGCUGCAGGCAGGCGGCAGCUGUGGGUUGGGGGGCAGCUGUGGGGCUGCAGCCCCCCCCCCCCGCUGCACUCAGACACAGUGCUGGGGGGCACUGAGGGGGCUCCCCUCCUUUCUCCUCAGUGCUCUCUCCCUCAUCCAUGCCCCAUGGGGCAGCUGUGGGGCUGUAAGCAGGCAGCAGGUGUGGGGCUGCAGCUCAGGGGCUCGGUGCUGGGGGGAACUGAGACAAUGGGGGGGCUCCCCUCCUUCUCCUCAGUACUGCAUACCAUGUCCACGUCCCAUGGGGCAGGUGUGGGGCUGCAGCCCCCUGGUGGGCACGGGCUCAGAGCUGGGGGAACUGAGGCACCGUGGGGCUCUCCUCCUUCCUCACAGUGCUCCAUACCUCAUCCGCGUCCCGUGGGGCAGCUGUGGCUCCGCAGCUCCUUCUACACGGGAG